rnacentral:rRNA from 1 species
UACAGAGGUGGCAAGCGUUGUUCGGAAUUACUGGGCGUAAAGGGCGCGUAGGCGGCCAUCUAAGUCAGACGUGAAAUCCCCCGGCUUAACCUGGGAACUGCGUCUGAUACUGGACGGCUCGAGUUUGGGAGAGGGAUGUGGAAUUCCAGGUGUAGCGGUGAAAUGCGUAGAUAUCUGGAGGAACACCGGUGGCGAAGGCGGCAUUCUGGACCGAAACUGACGCUGAGGCGCGAAAGCCAGGGGAGCAAACGGG